rnacentral:sRNA from 1 species
AAUAGGUUAAGCUAGAGUGGUGCAGUAUUCUAGUCAGUUCGCCAUUUCUGAAGGCGGGCCUAAAAAUCCGCCAUAGGGCACAUCGAUGAAGUUCCUGGUGUUGGCUUGAGUCGCCCAGACUUGGGUCGAUGCUGGGAGUUAAGGUCGCAGGGCGAUCCACAAAGGCAUGUGGGCGUUGACCCUGCUUCCGCGGAGGCCCAUUCUUGUAGCAGUGCGGUUAACGCUGCCUGCUAUGAAUUGGGGUAUGAACCUGUUUCAGCUGCAUGGGAACGCAGUUGAACAGCGUAGCCUGCCUUGAGUGGAGCUAGAGGGGAUUAUGGAUUAUUGGAAAUUUGCAGCUCGGCCGGCCGCGUUUUUCCUACCACCCAUAUGAAAUCUGCUCUGCAAAAGAGGCUAGGAAAUGUGUGGGGCUGUUGAGGAAAACUCCUAGACUGUUCCGAGUGACACUUAAAGGGGAUUAUAGUGCGGACUAAGUGGUAAUCCAGUCUAGCGCCUGGUGACUACGCUAAGGUUGAUGUAAAGGGAAACCGCCUGAAUGGCGACGUUCAGGUAUCGAUCUGGGAAAACCUACUGGACCUAAGCCGCAGUCUUUACUCUUUAAGUGACCACUCUUCACUACAUACUU